UUAUUUUAUUUUAUUUUUUUUUGAGUCACUUCUUUUAAAAGGCGUCAUUCUCAGGCCUGUAGGUGUGUUAGGGAUUUUCAUUUUGGCCAAUUCAGUGUGCCAACGGUGUGGAGGCCACAGACCUCCAGGAGAGGAGCCCAGGCAACAGGGGUGCAUAGUUCAAGUAGACGAUGGACUGAGGCGGACGUCCUAUACCUAUCCUGAUCGCUGCAUUUACCGUGCUGUCCCUUAGCUGCUGACUGCACUGAUCUGAAGUGACUUCACUGAACCCGAGGGUGAGAACUCUCUUAUUCAUCUUUGUAACCUCAGCAGAGUGCUCGACACACAUGCUUGGUGUUUAAGUAACAAAUGGGUGAUUGAGGUCUUAUCUCACCAUGGUACAUUUACAUUGAGAUAAGAUAUUUAGUUACCUGGAAGGAUAGCUCAGUAAUGUGUUAACAUGUGAACCAAAGGUGCUUUAUCUGAUUGGCCCCUUUGCAGCAGCAGGGACAGAACGGUGGCAGGUCGACGGUGGCACAGCAGGCUGGUUUGGGGGCAGUCUGCAUACGUGCU
rnacentral:lncRNA from 12 species